ensembl:snRNA U1 U1 spliceosomal RNA
AGAUGAAGAUUGGGUAUAGACAUGAUCAUGAAGGUGGUUUUUCCCAGAGUGAGGCUUAUCCAUUGCACUACAGAUGUGCUGAUCCCUGCGAUUUCCGCAAAUGCAGGAAAUUUGACUCCAUAAUCUGUGGUAGUGGGGAACUACGUUCAUGCUCUCCCAU